CAUGUUUGACAUUAUCCUUUCCAAUCAGUUAUUGAAAUGUUUUGAAUAAAAUUUCCUUUUGUGGCUGAAUGGGAACUCAAAGUCAAAUAAUAGUAAAAGGGUUAAAGGAAAGUGUCUUGCCAUGAUACUGUAACUGAAGAAUUGUAGAAGGCUGGUAGUAAAAAAAGAAUGUCCUAUAUUUCCACUGUUCUUAUUUUUUGUUUAUUUCAAAUUUAUGGUUAAUUCGCGACUACCAUCUACUUAUACGCUUCAGAAAACCAAUAUCAUUAAACUCAUUAUAUCAAUUAUCGAUAAAAUCAAUAAAUGCUUGUUAAUGCAAUUA